GGUCUUCCAGGAAAGAUAUUUUCCUUUCUAAUUGUGGUGAAGACUGCCAGUCACCUUGAGAAAGGAAGCUGUGACUAGUAGAAUGACAAGAGAGAUGGAGGCUUGUUUUCUGAAGGGAUCACAGAAGGGGGAUUCUUCAGAAGUCCAUGGUGAUUUCAAUUCUUAAGUUUUUCUGGGGACUGCAGCACAAGCCACCUUGACUCCUAGUUUAGGUUUCAGUUUUCUCUGGUCUGACAAGUAAUUUACCACAGCCCAUCUACUCUCCAGUUUUCACAAUUUGAAUAUUAUCAUAAUUUUAAUGGUAUUUGAGAGGAAGUGGAGAAAAAUGCACAUGUUCAAUCUGUGAAGUUUAACCAGAAGCCCUAUCAGUUGUAUUUUACCAGCAUUAAUACCAUCAAUUCUUACUACUCAUAUGUGGGUCUCUUGAGCUGUUUGGAAGCUAGGGAUUAGGAGUAAAGGAUGUACAUACAUGUGUGCAUGCUUCUAUCUCUUUGUGUAUAUGUGAGGUUAUAGUAUGAGAUUGUAUGUGUGUGUGUGUAGUGGUUAAAAUGAAAACAAGUGUGUUUGCUGGGGAACUAUUAAUAGGACUAGAAUGAUGAGCUUCAGGAGUUAGAAGGUGAGAAGAAGAGCAGAAAAGAGAAAGGAAGCAAACCUGCAAGUUUUGGAGUGAUGGGUUUCAGGACAUGUUACCCCAAAAUAUGGCACCUUGGCAGUUGAGGAAACAGCAGAAGAAAGAAGAUCUCUUUGACUUUCUCCUGCUCUUCUCUCCUGAAGCAGGCCCUAAAAGAAUUCUCUGAUCUUCCUCUAAAGCAGUUCUUAAGACCCUCAUGUGAGAAGUGCCUACCCCAUACUCAGAGGAAAGGAAUAUGCUUAACUUUGGAACCACAGGAACACAGAGAAGAAUCUGAACAAACUGGCUUGUCUAAUCAAAUAUCUCUACAACUAUCCACUUCUUCAUCAAACUUGGCAUAAAAAUACACAGAUUUCCC
rnacentral:lncRNA from 1 species